AUGUUAUUCAGUCACAUGUUCAUAUAUCCUGAUGUUCAUCUGUUCAACAAAGGGACAACAGGAUGUGUGUGUCUUACCUGUUUGGUCCACUCAGACAUGACGUGCGUGCUCGGCGUCCUGAAGUGGAGGUUGAGGACGACCACACAGUUCAGCACCACCACCGUCACCACCACCAUGAUGAACAUCAAAUAUCUUCAACACACAAACACACUCAGGUCCCAGACUGUUCAUCUGCCUGACGCUGGCUUCAGUACGUUCUGUGACUCUGCACUGACUGUCUGCGGGCAGGUAGUAGACCAGCGAGGGAGGAGGAGAUGAGCACGCAGGGGAUGAUGAUGUUGACCACGUAGAAGAGAGGUGUUUCUCUUGGCGGGUCGGUGGAUGAUCUCCCACUCACCAUUCUCUGUUGGUCAAAGCCAGAGUUCAGACACAAGUGAUGAAGUUAUGACUGUCAGUCUGGUUGGAGCUGCAGCCAGUCUGAAGGCUCAGGCUCUGGGGAAAACAACUUCUCUGCAUGUAUCAACAGCAUCCAGUACACUGAAAGUCCCCAACAAGCUCCAGGACUGUAUGCAGUAAAAAAAAUAAAUUACUUGUGAAGAGAAUUGUCUUUAUUUUAUUAGCAUGUGUUGUACCAUAUGUUUCUGUUUUCUGUUAUAAGCACUUUAGAAGUUAGGAAUAGUAGAAUGUUUAAUCAGUGGAAUAAAGAUAAGUAGUCAGUUGACCCUUCCUUGACAUGAAUGUUGUUUAGACAGUUGGAGCCAGGAGGAGACAGUCAGAAGGAAAGUGGUAGACCCCCAUCGUAAAACGUGACAGAAUUGUUUACUGGUGUUGAUAAGUUCCUCGGCAGGAAUGACCUCUGACCUGGCUAUCUGGGAAGACAAUGGAGAAGAAGGACUGCACCAACACCAAAUGAGGCGGGAAGAAGAAGAUGAGGUCAUCCAAGAAGAAGGACUGGAUUGGAGUGAAUUAGCAUCAAUAAUUUACAUAUAUUGUUCUAUAAAAGACUGGGCCAAGGGAUAGUUAGGCGGUCAGACUUCAUGCCCUGACAAUUGACUCUGUUGUUUAUAGGGUUAUGAACUGGCCCAGAGCUCUGUAAUAUUUGUAUCUUGAAAUAAUUUUAUUGUAAAUACAUUUUGAAAUUGGCAUUUGUUUACUUGAAGUCUUCAUUUAAAGAACACGCGGAUUGGCAGUGACACACAAGAGGUAUUGCAAUCCAACAUUUGGUUACCUGUAAAGCUUGCAGGAUCAAUAAUGAUCCAUUCAACCGUCCACUUGGUUUCAAUGACUAUGUCUUCCUUCAGGAGCAACCUGAUCUCUUUGGCAUUGUACGUUAGAGAGCUGCAAGGCAACAUGGGAAAUGCAGUUCAGAAUUUAAAAAGCCUUUUUUCCUACUGGGAGAGUUUAGCUGCACCGUGCAUUUUAUUUUUGCACCUUUUUCUCCUCUCAUGUGUUUAGAUUCUAUAAAAUCUUGACUCAGCUCAGUUUAAAACAUCAUGUCAGAGUUUGUCUGCGUUUCAAACAACAAUGAAAAAUCCUGCCCGUGCAUACGUGAAUUUGAGCGUGCAGUCCUGCCAGUCAAAGGGGAAAUAUUUGACGCUGAUGGAGCAGGACGAUGUGAAGAUGGCGGGUGGUGACCAGUAGCAGAGACCUGCUGAAUCCACCAGAACGUUGCAGUAGUAGGCCACGUUGAAUUGGGCAUCGUUGCUGAGGAGGUGGUUGUACACACACGGAAAUGUAUUAAACAUAACGAAUUCAAGUAUAAAUAACAGGACACGUGAUACUUGUUCAUUGUUAUGACUAUUUGAUCAUGUUAAAGGGGUUGAAACCAUAUUUUGAAAGAUGCAGGCGGUGUGUGAUUAGAAACUCUUUCUGAACUCUGGUGCUCUGAAACAUCUCCGCUUCCAUUUUCAGCGGUAUUGAUAAUAAAAACAUUAUCAACAACGUCAAAUCAUUCAUCCAUCCAAAUCGUUGUCCUGUUGGACCACCAAUGGACAAACACUUUCCAUUUAGCACGGACAAAAAACCCCAAAUCCUGUUUAGCAAUAAAGCUCGGCUCCAUUCUCAGGUUUGUAGGUGUAGCAUGAAGUCAGGCCCACUGCUGCUUUCUGCAGCUUUAGGAGAACAAGAAUAGAUUUUAUCAGCAGACUGUGAGAAUAAACAAGUGGAGUUUGUUCCUGAUUGUAGCAGGAACCUCUGCGCAGGUAAAGCUAACACAACCAGCUGGAUCAAAUUAGAAACACAACAGACAGUAGAUGGGGCCAAAGAGUAAAGAUGCUUUUUGUAAAAAUAAUAAUAAAAAUAAAUAAAUAAACGAUACAGCUGAGGCUGAAAGUGUCUGAAAUAGUCUAAUAGUUUAAUU
ensembl:lncRNA